GGGCGUGUGGUCUAGUGGUAUGAUUCUCGCUUUGGGCGACUUCCUGACUAACAGGAAGACAAAGCAUGCGAGAGGCCCUGGGUUCAAUUCCCAGCUCGCCCCUUU
rnacentral:tRNA from 1 species